GCUGCUAGAUGCUGACGAGUGGCGCACGGGUGCGUAACGCGUAUGCAACUUACCCUUAACAGGAGGAUAGCCUUUCGAAAGGAAGAAUAAUACUCCAUAAUAUUUUUAAGAGGCAUCCCUUAAAUCUUAAAGUUCCGGCGGUUAAGGAUAGGCAUGCGUCCUAUUAGUUAGUUGGUGAGGUAACGGCUUACCAAGACAUCGAUAGGUAGGGGGCCUGAGAGGGUUAUCCCCCACACUGGUACUGAGACACGGACCAGACUCCUACGGGAGGCAGCAGUGAGGAAUAUUGCACAAUGGACGAAAGUCUGAUGCAGCCAUGCCGCGUGCAGGAUGACUGCCCUAUGGGUUGUAAACUGCUUUUAUAUAGGAAGAAACCCAUCUACGUGUAGAUGGCUGACGGUACUAUAAGAAUAAGGACCGGCUAACUCCGUGCCAGCAGCCGCGGUAAUACGGAGGGUCCAAGCGUUAUCCGGAUUCAUUGGGUUUAAAGGGUCCGCAGGCGGGGAAAUAAGUCAGUGGUGAAAGCCUGCAGCUUAACUGUAGAACUGCCAUUGAUACUGUUUUUCUUGAGUGUAGAUGAAGUGGGCGGAAUGUGUCAUGUAGCGGUGAAAUGCAUAGAUAUGACACAGAACACCGAUGCGAAGGCAGCUCACUAAACUAUUACUGACGCUCAUGGACGAAAGCGUGGGGAGCGAACAGGAUUAGAUACCCUGGUAGUCCACGCCGUAAACGAUGAUUACUCGGUGCUAGCGAUAUACUGUUAGUGCCUAAGCGAAAGCGAUAAGUAAUCCACCUGGGGAGUACGGUCGCAAGAUUGAAACUCAAGGAAUUGACGGGGCCCGCACAAGCGGUGGAGCAUGUGGUUAAUUCGAUGAUACGCGAG
rnacentral:rRNA from 1 species